GAUGAACGCUGGCGGCGUGCCUAAUACAUGCAAGUCGAGCGAACAGACGAGGAGCUUGCUCCUCUGACGUUAGCGGCGGACGGGUGAGUAACACGUGGAUAACCUACCUAUAAGACUGGGAUAACUUCGGGAAACCGGAGCUAAUACCGGAUAAUAUAUUGAACCGCAUGGUUCAAUAGUGAAAGACGGUUUUGCUGUCACUUAUAGAUGGAUCCGCGCCGCAUUAGCUAGUUGGUAAGGUAACGGCUUACCAAGGCGACGAUGCGUAGCCGACCUGAGAGGGUGAUCGGCCACACUGGAACUGAGACACGGUCCAGACUCCUACGGGAGGCAGCAGUAGGGAAUCUUCCGCAAUGGGCGAAGGCCUGACGGAGCAACGCCGCGUGAGUGAUGAGGGUCUUCGGAUCGUAAAACUCUGUUAUUAGGGAAGAACAAAUGUGUAAGUAACUAUGCACGUCUUGACGGUACCUAAUCAGAAAGCCACGGCUAACUACGUG
rnacentral:rRNA from 1 species